rnacentral:rRNA from 1 species
UGAGGAAUAUUGGUCAAUGGGCGAGAGCCUGAACCAGCCAAGUAGCGUGCAGGAUGACGGCCCUAUGGGUUGUAAACUGCUUUUAUCCGGGAAUAAAGUGCGGCACGUGUGCUGUAUUGUAUGUACCUUAUGAAUAAGGACCGGCCUAAUUCCGUG